GAUGAACGCUGGCGGCGUGCCUAAUACAUGCAAGUCGAGCGAAUGGAUUAAGAGCUUGCUCUUAUGAAGUUAGCGGCGGACGGGUGAGUAACACGUGGGUAACCUGCCCAUAAGACUGGGAUAACUCCGGGAAACCGGGGCUAAUACCGGAUAACAUUUUGAACCGCAUGGUUCGAAAUUGAAAGGCGGCUUCGGCUGUCACUUAUGGAUGGAACCGCGUCGCAUUAGCUAGUUGGUGAGGUAACGGCUCGCCAAGGCAACGAUGCGUCGCCGACCUGAGAGGGUGAUCGGCCACACUGGGACUGAGACACGGCCCAGACUCCUACGGGAGGCAGCAGUAGGGAAUCUUCCGCAAUGGACGAAAGUCUGACGGAGCAACGCCGCGUGAGUGAUGAAGGCUUUCGGGUCGUAAAACUCUGUUGUUAGGGAAGAACAAGUGCUAGUUGAAUAAGCUGGCACCUUGACGGUACCUAACCAGAAAGCCACGGCUAACUACGUGCCAGCCGCCGCCGUAA
rnacentral:rRNA from 1 species